rnacentral:rRNA from 1 species
GGGGGGUGCAAGCGUUGUUCGGAAUUAUUGGGCGUAAAGAGCGUGUAGGCGGUUUGUUAAGUCUGAUGUGAAAGCCCUGGGCUCAACCCAGGAAGUGCAUUGGAAACUGGCAGACUUGAAUACGGGAGAGGGCAGUGGAAUUCCUAGUGUAGGAGUGAAAUCCGUAGAUAUUAGGAGGAACACCGGUGGCGAAGGCGGCUGCCUGGACCGAUAUUGACGCUGAGACGCGAAAGCGUGGGUAGCAAACAGGAUUAGAUACCCUGGUAGUCCACGCCGUAAACGAUGAGAACUAGGUGUUGCGGGUAUUGACCCCUGCAGUGCCGCAGCUAACGCAUUAAGUUCUCCGCCUGGGAAGUACGGUCGCAAGACUA